GGGGGCAUGGCUCAGGGGUAGAGCACGUGCUUGGCAUGCACGAGGUCCUGCAUUCAAUCCCUGGUACCUCCA
rnacentral:tRNA from 1 species